CGGCAUCGAGACCGAAUUUCUGCACGCAAUUUCUCACAUGCAUCAUCAAAUGCACAUGCAUCCCCACACGCGUGAACACACGCGCGUCAUCACGGGUCUCUGCGAGACCGCACGCUUUCGCGUUCCGGAUAAGUGCACGCGUGGAAACUUAUUGCGCCGGAUUCCGGAAUCCGGAAAGGUAGAACCGAAGCGCGGCGAUGAUGAAAAUGUCACGGCGAGAAAUGGCUCGCGAUGAGGAGAAGUUCUCGUUCGAUAAACGAAUGAAUUUUCCGUUCCGGAGAGCGAGCGAGAGAGAGAAAAGAGAGGGAGAGAGAGGCACUGUAUUUUUCAGAAUUCCGUAGGGAAAAUGUUGAUGCGUCUAAUUGCCCCGGGUAUUACGGCGUAUGUCGAUGCACGAUUAUUGAAUAAUGCAAUAAUCGACGCGAUGAAAUCCUCAUUCGCGAAAUUAGUAACGCGAGAUCGCUGUUUACACUCGCACUGUUGUGUGGCUCGCGAUACGAUUAUGUGUCGUAAGAAUGCAAUUACGUACUAUGACUGCAUAAUGAUUAACAUAAUCCUAACAAGAUAUUAUAAAUAUGUAAAUAUGUUAAUGGACGCAUUAUGUCGCACGUCCGCAGGACGUCCAAUAAACCGUGGUGCAGCUGGCAAGAUAAUGCCGAGAGAAUAAUAACCGGCUAGCUUCUUUAAACGCGACUUUAAUGCCUAGAGUUAUUUUUCUCUCGAAGAUUUAUGCGCACAGCCGAUAGGAAAAUUCAUUUCAUGCUUUCUCCGUUUGUGUCCUCACCUAGUAGAAUUUACUCUUUGAACAUACAUAUGUGUACAUUUGAUACAUCUGGAUGUAUUUUCUGAACAAAUCAUAGAUUAGAAAUAUGUAAUAAUUAGAACCAUGUAAUAUUUAGAAUUAUUAUCCAAGUUUUUUGCGAGCGCUGGUCAGAGUAAUUCCGUAUUUGCACGAAGAACGAAAGAAGAAUUCAAGAUAAGAUAACUCACGUCGCGCGGUGAGCUUAAAAACACAAUGGAGUAAACAACAUUUAUUACACACGUUCCAGAAUUCUAAAAAUCAGUUCUCUCUAUAUUGCAUAAUGAAGGAAAAUAUUCAACAAAUCAUCGCAACAAAAACACUUGAAGCGCCAAGUCAAUCAGCUACAAUAUAACGAGAAUAUGUCAGUAUCGAUUGAUGGAAAAAAUGAGACAUAAAAAAUGCAUAAGACAUAACAGAGAGAGAAACGGGGAGGAAGAGAGAGAGAGAGAGAGAGCACGGAUCGAUCAUUGCAGGAAGCGGAGGCAAAACUCGGUUCUCUGCUUCCUUUCUUUUUUUUAUUGCGCUCCCAUCGUCGACGAUCUUUAACGUCCAAUUCGUGUCAGCGCUUUGUUUCAGGCGGCCGAACUAUUAUCGAUAUCUUUGCGAGAUAUCCAUGAGAUAUCGCGCUUAUCCGUGCCGCAGAUAAAUGCUUCCAUUUAUCUUUGUCGAUAACGCGCCGGGCGUGAAUUAAAGCGCAAAUGAUCGAACAGUGCUCGCCUGGUGGUGAACGCCAGGUUUCCAUCCACGGGAUCGGAUUGUCGUUCGCCCGGUCAACUGCAGAAGGGAAGCAGUGGAGGGAGGGUGAACCGGAAGAAGGCAUCGCGACUGGAUCUCGCUCUCUCCCUCGUUCUUAUCUGUUCGCCUCUGGACGAAUGUGAAAGGUGAGGGAAUGCGAUACACGGAAGCGGAACUGAUGAUGGAGAGGAGUUACGUACAGCAGCUGAACGGAGCGAACAGCGACGAGCAACCACCAACGAGGACGAUGACGACGACGACGACCGAGACGGCCAGUGCGGGCACGCAGACGAUAGAGAUGCAGGAGAACGCGCCGAUUUACGCGAACGCGCCGAUUUACGCGAACAGCAACAUCAUCACGAUGCAACCGGGAGAAGGCGACAGUCGAUUUCCUAGACAGCCGAGCGACAACUUGGACUGGAUCUCGACAUCCAGGAAUCAGUUGAACGCAAUUUCCGGCACGCAGUUCCUAGCUGACGUCGAGCAGUUGGAAAUUCAUCAGGUUAUUGAUCUGCCUACUCUACUCGGCAGAACAGACAAGAUCCAGUAUCGAGUAAAAAUACCGCGGGCGGAAACGCUGUUCCUCGCGAUGGAGUCCAAGCCGGAAACGCAGUCGAGGAUGUUCGGCUGGUACAAGGGAUUCGUGCUAAACGUUCUGGAUCAGUGCGGCGAGACCGCGUUCGUCAUGCGGAAAGAUCCCAGCUGGAUGCACGUGCCUGGAUCGCGACAGAGAAUCACGGUAGAAAACGCGAAUUUCAUCGGCAGCGUGGAGGAGAACUUCAGCAUGAUAGGACCAAGCUUCACGGUGUAUAACGCGUCCAGUGAGCCGCUCUGCAACAUCUACGGGCCCAACAUCUGCGGCUGCUGCAUGUACAAGGAAGCGCAGUUUCAAGUAAUGAGUUAUCGGUCGUAUCGCUGGACGGAAGCCACCAGGUCGCAUCGCUGAUGCAUCAAUGGGACCACUUGUCGGUUGAUUAUGUCCUAUUGCUCACAUUCCCGACAGAAACCGACGUGAAAUUGAAAAGCCUGCUCCUCGGCGCGUCAUUCCUGAUAGAAUACCUGUAUUUUCAACGGAUAAGAAAAGCGUCCAGGAGAUAGAAGUUGCUCAAAAGAUUUACGAUUUCGUUAUUUGAAUUGCUACCUCGAUCCUGUUUUGUCGACAGAACAAGUUCACACUUCAGAAAAUAAAUUAAGUAUUACUAAAAAAAAAGAUUUUAAGAAACAAAUCAAAUUUUAUGUAAAAAGGGUUAUACAAGUGGUACAUAUAUAUAUAUGGAAUAGCGCGUAUUUAUUGUAUUAUAAUCAGUUGCAUAAAAGAAUUUCACAUGUUGCAUAAUUGUAAUAAAUGCUGAUUACAGUAAUAUAAGCUAGA
rnacentral:misc_RNA from 1 species